CAGUAGCCGCGGUAAAACGAGGGGGGCGAGCGUUGUUCGGAAUUAUUGGGCGUAAAGGGUGCGUAGGCGGUUCGGUAAGUCUUAUGCGAAAUCUUCGGGCUCAACCUGAAGCCUGCACGAGAAACUACCGGGCUUGAGUAUUGGAGAGGUGAGUGGAAUUUCCGGUGUAGCGGUGAAAUGCGUAGAUAUCGGAAGGAACACCUGUGGCGAAAGCGGCUCACUGACAAUAACUGACGCUGAUGCACGAAAGCUAGGGGAGCAAACAGGAUUAGAGACCCCUGUAGUCCCUGUCUCUUAUACA
rnacentral:rRNA from 1 species